AUUGAACGCUGGCGGCAGGCCUAACACAUGCAAGUCGAGCGGAUGAAGGGAGCUUGCUCCUGGAUUCAGCGGCGCACGGGGGAGUAAUGCCUAGGAAUCUGCCUGGUAGUGGGGGAUAACGUCCGGAAACGGGCGCUAAUACUGCAUACGUCGUGAGGGAGAAAGUGGGGGAUCUUCGGACCUCACGCGGUCAGAUGAGCCUAGGUCGCAUUAGCGAGUUGGUGGGGUAUAGGCCUCCACAGGCGACGAUCCGUUACUGGUCUGAGAGGAGGAGCAGUCACACUGGAGCUGAGACGCGGUCCUGAGUCCUACGGACGGCAGCAGUGCGGAAUAGUGGACGAAGGGCGGAAUCCUGAUCCAGGCGUGCCGGGCGGGUGCAGAGAGUCCUCGUAUUGGAUAGCACUUUAAGUGUGGAGGAAGGGCAGUAAGUUAAUACCUGGCUGUUGUGACGUUACCAACAGAAUAAGCACCGGCUAACUUCGUG
rnacentral:rRNA from 1 species